CCCUUGUUUCAAUUUGUUUUUCAAUUAAUUCUGACGAGUAGAAGGGAACGCUAGAAAGUUGCACUCUCCCCUGCAAAUUGCUACCCAUAAAUCUGAUCUAGAUGUAAUUUCAAAGCUCUGAUCGGCCAAUUUCAGUCACGGGUUGUGUGGUGUGGAGAGUCCCGCCUACUUCAACUCUACCUUUUGGAGAGCUUACAUACCAGAUCGGCACCGGCUCUGAUUAUAUCAAGAGGGUUAUUCAGAAAUGAGCUCUCGGCUUUAUAUAUCACAAUAUCAGUGGCCAUAUACCAUCGCUACACAACUGAGAGCAGUAGUGAGUGAACCCUAUUUGGCCUACAUCGGAACUGAUGCAGCGAUGGGCGGCGGUGUCUGGUUGUGGGGUCUUCGGAUUUCGGCGACUGAGACUGAAGGUGGCGUACAUCCUUGUUCUCCGGCGUCCGGUGGUGUGGUUCUGAUUGGGUUUUAGAAAAUCACCAAACUUUGGGUGCUCACGGUGGUGUGGUUCUGACUCGGUUGGGUGCUCGCAGUUGGGAUCCGAUCUACACCUAGGCAUCCCGGUUGGGUCCUCUCAAGAACCAGCACCGAAGGGCUCUCGGGUAACUCAGUUCCUAGAAGCAUGCUUUGGACCUGAGUUCACCACCUUAGGAACAGUUCAAUCCAGCCUCUGGUUUGUUCGAUUUGUGCUGGAAAAUCACCGUUGACAAAGCCUUUGGUGGUGUGCCUAAAGGUAUACCCCGACCUUGUUUCCUGUGGUCAAGAGCAGGGUUAUUUCCGUGUUCAGUAUGGAGCUUUGCAGUUGCUUAUUUAAUGUAAAAUUUGUUGCUGGACUUUUGGGCCAGUGUACUGUUAGUAUUUGGGGUUUCAAUCUAGGUGCUGCAAACACCAACAUCAGAUGUAGUGUUGUUUGACACUGUGAUUCAGGCCCAGUUUAGUUACUGGGCUCAUUGCCCAAUUCGGGGCUCAAAUUGCCUAGUUUAGUUACUAGGCUCAUUGCCCAAUGUGGGGCUCAAUUGCUGUGCAACUUGUUAGAGCUCCAUUAAUUUCCAUGAUUCUUUGUUUUACUGGCUUGGUUCUUUAGCGUAGUGUGGUGUGACUGGGGCUAUCAUUGACUAGAUUUGUGGUCGUGCACUGAUAGAAAGGGGUAGCAUCGCGAGCUGUCAUUGAUUAGAUUGGCGUAGUGCACUGAUUAAAAUGGGCAGCUUGGUUUCACCUGCGGUUCAGGUGGCCACAUUUUGUGGCUCCUCUUUUUUUGUCCCUCUUUUAGAUUAUAGUGAGCCUACGGGAUUAGGUUGAGGGUGUAGUGGUCUGGAUGGAAUGGGUGUGGUGUGUAAGGUACUUGGAAGGGUAGCCUUGUCGAAUGCCGACAUCUCCAGUUUGAGCCUCUUCUCGGUGCCUUGUUCCUUUGUAGUAGUUGUUCUAUUAGAAGUGGGUAUUAUGCUUGUUACUCUGGUUUCGGUUGGAGUAUUAGUAUUGUGGUUUGCAUAUCCCAUCUCUGUAGUCUGUGGUGAUUGGUAGUUUUUUUUUUAUAGGGUAAAUCAGCUUGAAAAUAAAAAAGGCUAACCGAAUAUACAGUCUGCAAGGAGCAUACCCCAGGUGGAAAAAACAAAACAAAACAAAGACUAAGAAAAUUGAUACUCUAUGCCAAGUGGCUACAUGGAGUGGAUAAUAUUAAAAUCUAGCAAACUAAUGAGAUGAAGACAAAACAAAUAACAUCAAGAGAAGCCCCGAGAUACAUUUGUUUCCUACCCAUCUACAAAAGGGAUAUAGCAGUAUUCCAACCAAUGGGAGCAGUCUGGAGUAUUGAACAGCAUCCAUAUGAUUCUGUGAUACACAUGAACAAACAUGAACGACAAAUCCAUGGCAGAACCGCCACCAAUUAAGCAAUCUUUCAGCUUAGUGCAACCUUUCAGUUGCUGCAAAGGGUGGCAGCAGCUCCUCACUAAGCAACACCAAAACAACAAACUUCAAGUGCUAUUGAUCACAGUUGAAGGAACAACCAUGUGAUAUGAGCAAAACAACAGAACUAUGACAGUAGAACCCAAUUGUUGCAGUCUCUGAACAAGCUGCCACAGCAGCAGCAGAGAGCAGAUCAGUCCACCAACUUUGUGUGCCUACAUGAUGCACUGAACAGCUCAGCCACCUAACAAAGCAACCACCUUCUGGAACUUGAGUAAGGAUGAAGCUAAAGCUAGUGAUAUAAAUGAAACUCAUAAAAAGUAGCAAAAAGCAAAAGAGAAGAAAAGCUAGGGACAAGCCCCCUAGAAAGGCUUAAACAACCUAAGGGACAACCCCCAAGGGUAGGUACAAAACAUUAAAAGGAAAAGUGCAACCUGUCCAUGGGACACUCCCCACGGAUAGCACAAAUACAGGCAAUCUACUAGAUCAACUAUCAAUCACAACGGUAGUAGUAGAAUAAGUGCAGCAGCUGUCGGGUAUAAAAUCCCCAGCACAUUGAGGUACCUUGGCCUUGAAACAUACCACAAAGAUAGGGACUGAAGCAAAAAUGAACAAAUCCUACUGCUGAAGCCACAAACAGCAGGUGAAAGUAACUAUUGCUGAUAUGAGUAUCAAUUAUGAAAAGCUGCACAAGGCCCUAAACAGCAAGCACAACAGCAGAACAGAACUGAUAGCCUGCCCUCAACAGAAAACGUUUGCAGCCGUAGGAUACACCAUCCUAGCUCAAUAUUAGUGCCAUAGCAGAAACAGUAACAGUAACAUAACAGAAGCAUAAACUGUAGCACAAAAAUGCUACACACACUGCAUUCUAGAGAAAACUGAAACAGAACAAAAUAGGCCUAUUGCUUUAUCUGUUCACCUUCUAACUCCCUCGAAGCCUAUCUCACCAAAAUUCUAAAAGCAAUAGGAAGGACCUUAACUCCCUCAACUUUCCCUUACAAAAAGACUCCCACUAACUAUUACCUCCACUCUCAAAAAAUUUGGGCUAAAGUACACAUCUCACAGGAUCAAAUAUAUGCUAGCAUGCACAAAUCAAAGGGAAUAGGCAAAGAAAUGAGAUUUCCAUAGCUGUAUUCACCUACAGCAGCUGCAGUAACAUACUAAGAGUAGAGAUUAAGGUAAAUACCUUUUAAGUAGGAGUAUUAGCAGUCAUGUAUCCUCCUUUGUAACUUGCUAGCCACCUUAAAGGAUGCCAAUACAGUGAACAACCUGCUCAUUUGGAUCACACAACCAUUAGAAAUAUCAACAGAUGCAGUAAUUUAGCAACAGUAUUUAGCACAGUAAUCUAACUCACAGCAGUGCUCCAUUCAUUUACAAUCGACUCUGCUUGUGAAUGAGGCAAAUUAGAAAGUGAUAAAAGCCUUGCUUUCACCAUAGUGCAAAUUUUUUGAACAACUAUCUCCCAAGUACAGAAUUGAUUUUGGAACUUCCUCAAGCUUCUCUCAAUCCAAGAAUGAUAAACAGUUACUGUAAAGCCCAAUCUAAUGAUUACACUUUUGAGAGAUUUGCCCUUAACAUUUGAUAACAGAGUUACCCAGUCGGCCCAAGAUCUAGUAGGCCAUGAAGCAUGUAGUUUGGCCUGAAUGGUAUCCCAUACCUGCUUGGUGAAUGGGCAGUUAAAGGAGAGAUGGUUGUGGCUUUCGCUUCCCUGCCACAAACCACAUUGUGGAGGAAUAUUUAGACCAAAUGACACAAGUCUAUCAGCAGUGGCAAGCCUAUUCUGAAUGGCAAGUCAUGUGACAAAGCUACAUUUUAGUAUGUGAGCAGAGAACCACACUAUCUUAUGCAACAAGACCAUAGGAAAGGGAGUUCUCAAUUUGUCCCACAAAGAGGCUAUUGUGAAUUGCCCAUUGGAAGUAAGAGUCCACCUUGUUUGAUCUGCCCCAUUCAACUUGGACUGAAUAAGAAGGGGCAGAGUGUUUCUCACCUCAUUUAGAUCAAAUGUUUGGGUAAUGGGGAACACCCAAUUUGAAUCCUUACACUACAACAAAUAUGACAAUUCAUAGCGUUAAUCUAUAGCAUUUUUUCAAGAAAGCUAUCUAUUCCCCAGGAAAAUGUGCGCCUAUUUGUUCGCCCGCUAUCUUUUCUCCGGAAAAAUGCCCGCCUACUUUUUCGCUAACAUUUUGAAUGAAUCACAUUCACUUAAUCAACCUCCAACCCCCAAUUUCUCUCUCUCACACACACACAAAUGAUGAAUCCGAAGACAGUCAAGCAGAAAUCCUAUACAUCUUCGCCUAUCUUUGCUCCUAAUAAACAAGCCCUAAAUCACAGUCCAACAGAAACGCAGUUUCAAAACUGUGCCCUUCAUUGACUUCUAGAUCUGGUUCUGGUUCUUUCUUCAGAGCAAACGAAGAGAAAUCUCUGAGUGUUUGAUAAUAUGCUUGAGUCAAAUUUGGUUCUUCAAUAACAUAUAGACCCAUAAUAGAAGGGGCAAAAUCAUUUGUGGUUUUCUGUCCAGAUUCAUUCUUCAACUACUCUGUUGCGCGGCUUGCGCCCACUUGGUUGCCCCGAUUCUGAGAGUUCGAUGCCGUUAACGCACUUCUUCGCCAGAGAAUUAUCUAUUUGGACUCCCACAGCAUUUUACAGUUGCAUUUUAAUUAGAAGAUUAGAUAUUGAAUGAAUAGGGAAGAAAGGUCCUGCAGUAAUUUACUUGCAGAUAAAGCUAAAUGGGCUUUUACACAGUGACGACAAUUGUGCUCUCAAGGUUUAAUCUCGAUGACUUCAAAUAUUCAUUGCCUUUAUUUAUCUGCGUCUGAUAUAUAUACUUCCUUCUUCUUCCUUGAUUUAACUCAGCCUGGGUACAGGGUUCAAUCUUGAAUUUGUUUCGAUUCUCUUUUGUUGUUCUCAUUCCUGAAUCUUUGAACUGAAAUUACCUUUCUAUUCUUCCUCCUCUCCUAUCCUUGUCCACUUUGUAUGUCUUUGGCAUUUGUGCAAGUAUGGUGCAGUUAGGUGGAUUAGUAAUGGUUAAACCCCCCUUUUCCCAAAGAAAUUGGAGCCCAUAUAGACUAUUAUGUGUUUUAAAUUCUGUUGCUAUACGUCACACGCUUCACCAGGUGCUUCUCAAGGUAAACAAUGACUACUUUAUAGUUUGCUCGAUGCAAUGCAAUCUCUAACAUCACAAGCUGUUGUAAUUGGUGUGUUGGCGAUUGAAUACCAUAGAGACAUGAGUUGGGGAAUGCUACUGCACGACAGGUGUUGCCAUGUAUGUUUUCAAUAACAAGAAAUGUUAUGAUAGGAAACCAAUUAUAGUGUUCGCUGAGAAGAAGAGGAGGAAACGCUUGCGCCUAACAUCGUUCUCUUAUAUUCCUGUAUGGGCAGAAAACUCAUUUUGCUCUUGCCAUUGAAGCUCCGGGUGGAUGGCUUAUGGAGAAGGAAGCAAAUCAAGCUAUAGUGUUGACUGUACUCCAGAAAAUGGAUGAAGUUUGUAGAGCCUCAACGUCGAGAUUAGUCAAAAAUAAAAUAAAAUGAAAGACGCUUCAAAUGAGGAAGAAAGGCUAAAGCUGCAGGCAACCUGAUACCAUCAAGUCACUGCAUUGGAAGGAUUUUGUGAAGGAAAAGACAAAUUCAAGGCAACCAAAUUUUAAUCUUCUAGGCGAGGAGGAAUUGGAAUAAGGUAAUGCCUGCUUUUGUUUGCUUGGUGUGGAUGUCUAUUAUAGCUCUUGCUGCAAGUGUUUUUCUUCGGACUUCUACUAUGUGUUGCAUCUUUUCGGGGAUGAUUUUUGUUGCUACAACUUCAACCUACGGGCAUGUUUCUCAUAUUUUGGAGGGUUUCAAGUAGCCCAUUUAUGUGGUUGGCUUUGGGAGCAGAAAGGGUAUAAACUCGGCAAAGAAGUAAGCUUCAAGUAAGCGGAAUGAGAUGGUUGGCCUAGUGCAUGGUUAUAUUUUCAGGAAAGUAGAAUUACAUUAGUUAUUUUUCAAUGAGUCCAAUUAGUUGGACUCUUUUAUGUAGUUUUUAUUGGGAAAUUAUUUCCCAAGCUAAUGUAAUGAAUCUUUAUUCAAUGGUUGAAUUGUUUAUUGUAUAUUGACAUUUGGAUA